CGGGGGAGGGACCCCGGGGGCAGCUCAGAGCGCGGCUGGUGCUCGGGUGGCGGAGGGAGAAAGAAGGAAGGGAGGCAGUCAGUGAACGGCGGCUCGCAGGGAGCGAGAUGGAGGGAGGGAGGGAGGAAGGCGGAGGGAUAUUCGGGCCGGACCUCUCCGCGGCGGCACCGCGCUCCGCGUCGAUUGGCUGCCGCCGUGGCCAUGCGGCGCCCCCUAUUGGCCAGGCCGUCUGCGUUGAAGGGCCGCCCGGCAUCCAUUCGCCCGCUGGUUUCAAGUCCCGGGUUGGUUGGGCGGGCAGCGGAAUGGGGUGCGUGGAUUGGCCGAGGGCAGGAGCUAGCUGGGUGCUGAUUGGGCGGGCUUGGUAAAGGCCUCGGUCUCAGACCGGCUGAGCGCUGAGAGGAGAGGGGACCUCAGGCAAGACUCCGGGCCCGCAUGAUUGGCUGGGGAAGCUGCUUUAAUGGCUGGGACUACUUGGCAGCGGGCUCGCGCGGCAGGGCAGGACCUUGGAGACCACGCGGUUCAACUUCCAGUUUGCAGAUGUGGAAACGGAAGCCCAGAGAGGGUAUGCAACCGGUGCAAGGUUACACAGCUGGUUAGUGGCCUGCUCGGGACUGGACUCCAGCGCUCCGGACUGCCCUUGGCCUUGCACUCAGCUUCCCCCUUCGAGGAGGAAAAGGGAUAGGGAGAAUGUUUGAAGAAGGAUGUAAGGGCCAGGACCCCGCAGCACCGGCACAACCAAACCUCUAUGAACGAUUUUCUGAACUCAGGAAACUACUGGAGGAUGUGGUGCACCAAAACGAGAGAAUAAACUAAGAAACAGGAAGACAUGUGGUCCUAGAAACAGGAUAUUCAACAUAGCAGUGAGGUUCAGUCAUCAAAUUAAUGGUGCAAGUGCAGGAGUGGAAGUAACACAGUUGCUCAGGCUCGCACGGCAGGCGUUCAGCAGUGUUGGAACCAGAAGUCCAAUAAUGAAAGCUACAGCUGACAGAUACCAGCAAUAGAAUCACAGGAGCAAUCAGAGCUUUACAAACGUCAGUAACAACCGAACUGACUUUCCUUCCUACACUACCAUCAAUCAAGUUUGCCAUCAAACGUUCAGGUAGGACCACCAAGCCUUUGAUUUGGUUUCCCAGGGAAAGCCGUUGUUUGGCUCAGUGUUUUAUUAACAUUAGGUUCUCCUGUCUUUUACUCUUGCAUUUGAACCCAAACACCUUGACCACUUUGCAUGUAUCAGGGUUGGUACAAGAAGGCAUAGUCCAUCUUGGUUGGGUAUUUUGCACUGUUCAAAAGAUAGUUUUAUAAAAAACAAAACUAAAACAACUCUGAGGUCCUAAAACUAAUAUAUAAGUGAG